UUUCUUUAGAUAGCACAGCACCUGGCCUUCCUUCCUCUCCUCCUAGCCUUUUCCUUUCUCCACCUUUCUUUUCUCCUUGCCUUUCCUAAUUCUCUUCCUAGACCCUUGUCCUAAAAUGAGACUUGUCCUUACUAUUUUGGACUUAUCUUAACAAGGAAAGGAAGAGAGCUAUUCAAGCAACCUAAGAGACUAUGUAAGAAAGAAGAGAUUUGGAACUUCUCCGAUGGAUCAGAACCCUGGUGUGCCACCCUUUUUAUAGUUGGAG
rnacentral:lncRNA from 1 species